AAGCCCCGGAGCUCUUUUUGAGCUCGGUUUCAAACUUGCAAUUUGAUGUGGGCCACUUCGGGGCU
rnacentral:tRNA from 1 species